rnacentral:miRNA from 1 species
UACUGUACUGCCCUGUUUUUACGGUGGCCCUAAGGUGCAAAACACAACGGCAAAUCAGAAAACACAACACAAAAAGAGAAAACACAACAACAUUAACCAUUGAGUUUUCUUAUUUGCUGUUGUGUUUUCUCUUUUAGUGUUGUGUUUUCUGAUUUGCACCUCAGGGCCACCGUACUGAGGGCACUACAGA